GUUUAUAUAGUUUAUUUAAAACCUUACAUUUUCAUUGUAAAAAUAAAACAUUCGUUUUUAUAAAUU
rnacentral:tRNA from 1 species